CCUCUUCUUGAUGAUGAUCUCAGGCAUCUUCUGCAAGGACUUCUUACUGGAGUAUAUGGUGCUAGGUUUAAUGAGGAAUUUAUUGCUUUGGCCUGAAGCCUAAUGAGGAAUUUAUUGCUGAGGACCCGGCGCUUAAUGAUGAAUUUAUUGCAGAGGGCUAGGGCUAGGGUUAUUGUCUCCGCUUCAUCCAACUAUAUAUUCGUAUGAGCUUUGUCAGCUUUGGUUUUGAUUACUUGCAAGUAGUCAGAUAUGCACCAUGUCCUAUGGUCAGUGUAUGAAUUGUAAACCUCAAUUAUCUCAACCUUAUCCAACUAUUCAUGUGAGCUUUUUCAGCUUUGUUUUGAUUACUUGCAAGUAGUGAGAUAUGCACCAUGUCCUAUGGUCAGUGUAUGAAUUUUUAACUUUAAUUAUCUCAGCCUUAUCCAACUAUUCAUGUGUGCUUUGUUAUCUUUCUUACUUAUGAUUGCUUGCAAGUAGUCAAAUAUGCACCAUGUCCUAUGGUCAGUGUAUGAAUUGUAAACCUUAAUUAUCUCAACCUUAUCCAACUAUUCAUGUGAGCUUUUUCAGCUUUGUUUUGAUUACUUGCAACUAGUCAGAUAUGCACCAUGUCCUAUGGUCAGUGUAUGAAUUUUUAACCUUAAUUAUCUCAGCCUUAUCCAACUAUUCAUGUGUGCUUUGUUAGCUUUCUUACUUAUGAUUGCUUGCAAGUAGUCAAAUAUGCACCAUGUCCUAUGGUCAGUGUAUGAAUUGUAAACCUUAAUUAUCUCAACCUUAUCCAACUAUUCAUGUGAGCUUUCUCAGCUUUGUUUUGAUUACUUGUAAGUAGUCAAAUAUGCACUAUGUCUUAUGGUAAUUGUAUGAACUGUAAAC
rnacentral:lncRNA from 1 species